rnacentral:rRNA from 1 species
UUAUCAAUAAGCGGAGGAAAAGAAACCAACCGGGAUUGCCUCAGUAACGGCGAGUGAAGCGGCAGCAGCUCAGAUUUGAAAUCCUUUCGGGGAGUUGUAAUCUGUAGAGGAACGUUCGGUAGAGGAGUCGGUCCAAGUCUCUUGGAACGGAGCGUCGCAGAGGGUGAGAAUCCCGUACGCGGCCGAUAUCCGAAGCCAUGUGAACGUCCUUCGACGAGUCGAGUUGUUUGGGAAUGCAGCCCAAAAUGGGUGGUAAAUUCCAUCUAAAGCUAAAUACCGGCCAGAGACCGAUAGCGCACAAGUA